AUGGGGUUAUGCUUUGGUUGCUUCGACGGAGGCAACAAGCGUAUGACAAAGGAGGAAGAGAGAUUAGCCUCUGAAGAAGCACGUGCUAGAGCCGCCGAAGCCGCCCAGAAAAAGCAAGAACAACAAGAAGAUGUAAAACAACCUGCGGAAAAGCAACCUGAAAAUUCAAACAAUGGAGAACCGAUUACAGAUGGGUUGAAGCUAGACAAUUUAUCUGUCCGAGUGAAUUGUUUAUUACGUGUAAGUUCUAAGAAUGUAUAG